UCGUGAUGAGCAUGUAGGAGGGGACAUGCUGUUGCUUAGUGAAGAACUGACAGCCUUGGCAUCUACGGACUAGUUGUUUUGCAUCGGCCAGUGGCAUGGGCCAAUAAAAACCUGCUCUGAAAGCUCUGCCAACAAUUGUUCGCGAAGAGGCAUGGUUACCACAGAUUCCUUUGUGUAUUUCUUCUAAGAUUUCUUGGCCUUCUUCUCAGGUGACACAUUUCAUGAGUACUCCAGAUGAUGCACUCCUUCUAUAGAG
rnacentral:lncRNA from 1 species